rnacentral:rRNA from 1 species
AACGAACGCUGGCGGCAUGCCUAACACAUGCAAGUCGAACGAGACCUUCGGGUCUAGUGGCGCACGGGUGCGUAACGCGUGGGAACCUGCCCUUAGGUUCGGAAUACCUCCCCGAAAGGGGUGCUAAUACCGGAUAAUGUCUUCGGACCAAAGAUUUAUCGCCUAUGGAUGGGCCCGCGUUGGAUUAGCUAGUUGGUAGGGUAAAAGCCUACCAAGGCGACGAUCCAUAGCUGGUCUGAGAGGAUGAUCAGCCACACUGGGACUGAGACACGGCCCAAACUCCUGCGGGAGGCAGCAGGGGGGAAUAUUGGACAAUGGGCGAAAGCCUGAUCCAGCAAUGCCGCGUGAGUGAUGAAGGCCUUAGGGUUGUAAAGCUCUUUUACCCGGGAUGAUAAUGACAGUACCGGGAGAAUAAGCUCCGGCUAACUCCGU